rnacentral:rRNA from 1 species
CCUACGGGAGGCAGCAGUGGGGGAUAUUGCACAAUGGGGGAAACCCUGAUGCAGCGACGCCGCGUGGGUGAAGGAGCGUUUCGGCGCGUAAAACCCUGUCGGCAGGGAAGAAGUAGGACGGUACCUGCCGAAGGAGCCCCGGCUAAAUACGGGCCAGCAGCCGCGGCAAUCCGGAGGUGGCAAGCGUUAUCCGGAUGUACUGGGUGUAAAGGGAGCGUAGACGGAAUUGGAAGUCUGAUGUGAAACGCCGCGGCUCAACCGCGGAACUGCAUUGGAAACUGGAUUUCUAGAGUGCCGGAGAGGCAAGUGGAAUUCCUGGUGUAGCGGUGAAAUGCGUAGAUAUCAGGAGGAACACCAGUGGCGAAGGCGGCUUGCUGGACGAUGACUGACGUUGAGGCUCGAAAGCGUGGGGAGCAAACAGGAUUAGAUACCCCAGUAGUC